rnacentral:rRNA from 1 species
ACAGCAGUAGCCGCGGUAAUACGAAGGGUGCAAGCAUUAAUCGGAAUUACUGGGCGUAAAGCGCACGUAGGCGGAUAUUUAAGUCAGGGGUGAAAUCCCAGAGCUCAACUCUGGAACUGCCUUUGAUACUGGGUAUCUUGAGUAUGGAAGAGGUGAGUGGAAUUCCGAGUGUAGAGGUGAAAUUCGUAGAUAUUCGGAGGAACACCAGUGGCGAAGGCGGCUCACUGGUCCAUUACUGACGCUGAGGUGCAAAAGCGUGGGGAGCAAACAGGAUUAGAGACCCCAGUAGUCCCUGUCUCUUAUAC